CGGGACGGGUGAGUAAUGUCUGGGAAACUGCCCGAUGGAGGGGGGUAACUACUGGAAACGGUAGCUAAUACCGCAUAACGUCGCAAGACCAAAGAGGGGGGACUUAGGGCCUCUUGCCAUCGGAUGUGCCCAGAUGGGAUUAGCUAGUAGGUGGGGUAAUGGCUCACCUAGGCGACGAUCCCUAGCUGGUCUGAGAGGAUGAUCAGCCACACUGGGACUGAGACACGGCCCAG
rnacentral:rRNA from 1 species